rnacentral:lncRNA from 1 species
CAGUUGAACUCUUCGGAAGAACAAGAUGAUUAUUUCUUUUAAGGGCGCUUCCAGAAUUUACAAAGCUGGAAUUGUUCAUGUACCCAGCAGUGGAGCGGACAUACUUUGACUUGGCACCCGUUUCUAUCAGCUUCUACUGUCUGGGGUGUCCUGCCUGGUGAGCACACCUUCAGGAGAUGCAGGCUUCUUACUGUAGAGGACAAAGAGGGUAGUAAGAAGCUGAGUUCCUUGGCUUUUUCCUUCCUCUACCAGGGACUAGAAUGUCUAACUGUUGUACCAGCUCUCAGGCUGGUUAUGUUUGUGUAGUCAU